CUUUUAUUUUGAAAUACAUCUAUACAAAAAUGACAGUCUAUAUAUCAAUAGCUACAAAAUGUUUUCAGGCAGUGUUACACUUAGGACAAAAUACAUUAUUAUUUAUACAUUGUACAUAAAUUACUAAAUGUAAUAAGUCAGUACUGAAGACUAGUCUUCCUAGACAAUUGUCAUCAAAUUGCAAUAGAUAGAUUAUUGCUUUUUUUUUUUUUUUUAAACAUGACUUUCUUUCAAAAAGAAAGUGUAACUAAACCAAUUGAGCGACUGAAGGAGUCCACGCUACAUUCUCUUCUUCGGAUUAAAUUUUUUAUUACAUAGGAAAUACUUUGUAAGCAGCCAGUUUUGAAUGAAGUUACAGUGGUGAUUCAAAAGGAAUAUACAAUGAAAAAGCCAAUAAAAACACAAUUGAGUUUAUUCUUUGAACAGCUUGUUGUGAGAUCUUAAGGAAGAAAAUAAUAAAAAUCCAUAUUCUAAAACUUAAUUGAAGUCUCAAAAAUAUUAAAUUGUAUCAGAUUUUUUUUCCCCACUUUGAACUGAAAGCUUGUGUUCACAUUGUGCUUUUUGCAGAGAAGUAGCAGAAUAAUCUACAUUCAUAUCCACAAGAUUACAACAGACUCAUGUUUGACUUUGUGCAUAGAAUUCUGGAAAGGUUUUUAAAAAUAAACAAUCCCAAACAACCACCAAAUUCUCCAGCCAAUACGAUUUGAUUCUUGUUACAAUGUUAGAUGACUAUACACAAUUUAUCAGCAGAUCUCCCAAACAAAGAGGAGAUAUUAAAUACACCAUUUUCUUCAACUGGAGCACGUAAAAACACAAGUUGCACGGAAAGGUCUUUUACUGUGUAAUGCCAUGCCAAGUUAAUAUGGCACUUAAAUAUAGCCCCCUUAGAAGAGAUGAAAGAAAUGCACAUUCUGUACCUACGAUUUAUGGCUAUUUUAUUAAAUAAAUCGGGAUGUAUACUACAGAAAUCCUUUGGCAUGCGACUCAAAAGCAAAUAUUGAUGGACUGCACAGGUGUAUCUGCAGAAUUGCUUCAUAAAUUAUUCAUGUACACCACACAUAGGAGAAAGCAAAGAUACAUGUAUAUAUAAAAAAAAUAAAAAAUAAAACCUUUUUUUUUUUUUAAAUAUAAAUCAGAGAUCCGAAAUGAUGACUAACCAAAGCCAACCAGAAAAUAGAUAUGUGAAGAUUGUAGAAGGAAAUAAAAAGGCAUUUAAAAAAAAAAAAA